AACCGCCCGGGAAUUACGAGCCCAAGCUUAAAACCCAAAGGACUUGACGGUGUCCCACCCACCUAGAGGAGCCUGUUCUAUAAUCGAUUCCCCCCGAUCUACCUCACCACUUCUAGCCUCUCAGCCUGUAUACCUCCGUCGUAAGCUUACCAUAUGAACGAUUUUCAGUGAGCUAAAAGAUUUUACAUAAAUACGUCAGGUCAAGGUGCAGCCCACGAUGUGGAAAGAAAUGGGCUACAAUUUCUAUGAUAGAACAUAACGAAAGACUACAUGCAACUCAGUCAUGAAGGCGGAUUUAGUAGUAAAAAGAAAGUAGAGAGUUCUUUUUAAUUAGGCGCUGGGACGCGUACACACCGCCCG
rnacentral:rRNA from 1 species